rnacentral:rRNA from 1 species
CUGAAGGGUUGUUCGAGACUAGAACGUUGAUAGGCAGGGUGUGUAAGCGUUGUGAGGCGUUGAGCUAACCUGUACUAAUUGCCCGUGAGGCUUAACCAUACAACACCCAAGGGGUUU